rnacentral:rRNA from 1 species
AGUGAGGAAUAUUGGUCAAUGGGCGAGAGCCCGAACCAGCCAUCCCGCGUGCAGGAAGACGGCCCUAUGGGUUGUAAACUGCUUUUGCGCAUGAAGAAUGUUACCGACGUGUCGGUAAGUGACGGUAAUGCGUGAAUAAGCAUCGGCUAACUCCGUGCCAGCAGCCGCGGUAAUACGGAGGAUGCAAGCGUUAUCCGGAUUUAUUGGGUUUAAAGGGUGCGUAGGCGGCCUUGUAAGUCAGUGGUGAAAACCUGCAGCUCAACUGUAGGCGUGCCAAUGAAACUGUGAGGCUUGAGUGACGUUGAGGCAGGCGGAAUGUGUAGUGUAGCGGUGAAAUGCUUAGAUAUUACACAGAACACCGAUUGCGUUGGCAGCUUGCUAAAGGUUAACUGACGCUGAUGCACGAAAGCGUGGGGAUCGAACAGGAUUAGAUACCCUGGUAGUCCACGCUGUAAACGAUGAUGACUCGCUGUUGGCGAUAUACAGUCAGCGGCUUAGCGAAAGCGAUAAGUCAUCCACCUGGGGAGUACGCUCGCAAGAGUGAA